rnacentral:rRNA from 1 species
AUAUCAGUCAUGCAUAGCAUAUCAAUAAGCGGAGGAAAAGAAACUAACAAGGAUUCCCUUAGUAACGGCGAGUGAAGCGGGAAGAGCUCAAAUUUGAAAUCUUCAAGGUUUUACCUUGACGAAUUGUAGUUUAAAGAAGUGUUUUCUGUUGAAGUUUUGGUAAAAGUUCUUUGGAAUAGGACAUCAUAGAGGGUGAGAAUCCCGUAUUUGACCAUUACUUUCAGCUUUGUGAUACACUUUCAAAGAGUCGGAUUGUUUGGGAAUGCAGGUCCAAAAUGGGUGGUAAAUUUCAUCUAAAGCUAAAUAUUGGCGAGAGACCGAUAGCGAACAAGUACCGUGAGGGAAAGAUGAAAAGAACUUUGAAAAGAGAGUUAAACAGUACGUGAAAUUGUCAAAAGGGAAGCGUUUGACACCAGUGUUGUUUUCUCGAAAAUCAAUUAAAAAGAGUUGGAUUUUGUGUUGUAUUGACUUUAUCGGCUUUCUUCACUCUUUUCCAGCUUUUUUUAAUGCACUUUUCGUUUAACAAGUCAACAUCAGUUUCUUUUGUUGUAAAAAGGUCAUUGGAAGGUGGCUUUCUCUUCGGAGAAAGUGUUUAUAGCCUUUGACUCAUGCAAUCGGAGAGACUGAGGUCUGCAGCAUAGAUCCUUCGGGGUUAGAUACAUUUGUGCUAAGUUAUAGCUUUUCAUAGACAACUUGUUGACUAUGUUUAGUCUUGUAGCUUACUCGCUUAUGCUAUUUUACCUACGCUUAGGAUGUUGAACUCUAUCACACACAG